rnacentral:rRNA from 1 species
UACGUAGGGUGCGAGCGUUAAUCGGAAUGACUGGGCGUAAAGCGUGCGCAGGCGGUCUGUUAAGUCCGAUGUGAAAUCCCCGGGCUUAACCUGGGAACUGCAUUGGUGACUGGCAGGCUUUGAGUGUGGCAGAGGGAGGUAGAAUUCCACGUGUAGCAGUGAAAUGCGUAGAGAUGUGGAGGAAUACCGAUGGCGAAGGCAGCCGCCUGGGCCAACACUGACGCUCAUGCACGAAAGCGUGGGGAGCAAACAGG